rnacentral:lncRNA from 1 species
UAUGUUGGUUCUCUGGCUGGAGGCUAUUCCCUAACCUUUGAACCCACGUCCCGGGGAUGGUUUGUAUGAGUCUAUUGUCUCUAGAAUAAUCAGAACUGUUGGUCAGGCAAUAUCAGAGGACACUUGUGAAAGUUGGGAGGCUAUAGGACAUUUGGAGUCCCACACAGACAUAUGCGUGAAAGGGGUGAUAUCACGCUUGUCCGUGUCCAUCUUCAGACUGACUUCAUGGUGAGGAUACCAUUUUUCUGGCCAUAAGGAACUCUCAGCUUCAUCUCCCUGCCCCAAAGUGUCUCUGCAGUAGUUAUAGCACAGGGAAGAAUUGUAGCCCCGGGUAUCAGGAAGAUACCACACAGUCAGGAGGCCCAGUUAGAAAGGCACAAUUUUAUUGGUCACUCAGACUGGGAAACACAGGGGAUAUACCUACUCUCCUGAAUAAUCUAGGUCUGGUUUCCUACAUUAAUCCUGAUAUAUCAAAAAGCAAGACAAGAAAAGAUAUCACAACCCUAGUCUCCUGGUAACCAAGGACACAGGGUGCACCCCAGAGCUUGGGAAGAAGAGGCUGCACUAUUUUGAGAGCCUGGGACCAAUGCUCACCUUCCCUGAUAGCAGGCUGGAGAACUCAGCCCUUGGGGACUAUGGUGGAGACUCUUCCUCAGUACAUCAGAAAUGUUGCAGGGUAGGGGUGGGGUGGGCUUGGCCCAACUCAGGGUAUGGUGAUAGCUGCCCACCUCCAGUGGCACGGGGAGUAUUUAUUGGUCCAUAGGCUCAGCAGGGGCCUGACGUGGCUGGCUUAAGUUAAGGCCAGAUCUCUUCACUGGCGAGUUAGAGCUGAUUUCUGACUCUGGCAGACUUGAAACCCCAUAAAAACCAAGAGGAUCAGGCCUGUGACAGAACCCCAGCAAAAAGCAGCUUGGAUCUCUGAAGCUGGACAGGGCCAGGCUCCUUGUGCCACUUAGCCAUGCAGACUGUUCGGGUCCCUGCAGUAGAGCCCGGCCGGUUAGCUCUAAGAGACCGAUGGUUUUCUUUAAUGCUUUUUAAAAACAUCUCAGGACCCACCAUUUGGGAUUAGUGGGCCUGGGCAUAGGGUUCAGGCUGACUGGCACCUCAGCACUGGAGGCCAGCCCGACAAAUGUUCAUAAAGCACUUAACACAGCACAUGGCACCUGACUGUUAUUAUUAUUAAUAAUAUUAUUAUUUAUAUCUUCACCCUCGGAUGAGCAGCUCCGUUAGUUCCUUUCUUUAAAACGGCGACUGGAAGAAGGCCCAGGAAUCCAAGUUCUGAGACCCAGUGCCGCUGUCUGCUGUCUGUAUGGCGUGCGUUUGUCAUCCAGCUUUAGCAUCUGCCGCACAGUGUGGCAGCCAGCAGCACACUUCUUGGACCACAGAGAAGUGAGGCCGUUUCCUGAAAAAAAAUACACAGCCUGGGACUUGAAGCUAGGCAAGAAGAGCUAGCAGGAGGUCCUCCAAGAGGCAUCCUGAGAGAGGCAUCCUGAGAGAGGCGCAGGUCUGCUUUGUGCUGUUCCUCCAGGCUCCGAUCACCAGCAGCUCACUGUAAGAUGAGAACAGAAAGGGCUAUCAGGGCCUUGCCAGAUUUGACCCCUAGUGCUGUAAGUUAGGUCAGGCUAAUUAAUGUGAAAGAGCCACACUGUCCUAAGUGCCUUAUAUGUUAAUUCAUGCAUAUAUUACAAACACAGUACCUAUGAGAUAGAUAUAUGUUGUAUAUAGUUUCAAAAUGAGUGAUAACUGUAAAAAUGAUCACAAACAAUAACAGUAUAUGGCAUAAUCUUUUUCUCCCCAUAAAUCUACACAAUGGCUGGCACUAGUAGUUUCUUUUUGACAGUUUAAAAAGGCAUAGAGCCGUGCAGUGGAGACUUGGGAUUUAAAUCCAACACAGGACUGUGGUACAGUGCUUGCCUAGUGUAAGGCCCCAAGUCUGACCCUCAAUGCUGCAAUAAGUAUGCUAAUGGAAUGGCCAGCAGUCUAGUUCUAGACUCUGUUCCUUGUGAUACUGGAGAUUCACCUAAGGGCUUUCUGGAGGCUUCCUGUGCACUCUCCCACUGAGCUAUAUAACCUUAGCUCUCUCACUGCUGCUGUUGUCUGUCUCACCAUUUAGCCCAGGCUUGCCUUGAACUUCCAAUCCUCUUGCUCUAGAUGUACAGUGUGCUGGGAUUAUAGCGGUGUACUAUCAUGUCCAGUCUCAACUCUGUGUGUGUGUGUAUUUAAGUCAUUGUUAGUUUUGCUCUACAAUAAAUCUAUUCUAUAGG